CGAUAGCUCAGUUGGUAGAGCGGGGGACUGUAGAUUUAUAAUUGUGAUCCCUAGAUGCUGGGUCGAAUCCGGCUCG
rfam:Nematostella vectensis strain CH2 x CH6 NEMVEscaffold_674_Cont31585, whole genome shotgun sequence.